rnacentral:lncRNA from 1 species
GGCCAGAUAGGAUCAGGCACAUUUAUGACAUUUGGAUGAAGAAGAAUGGACCACUGAAACAUUGGCCCAUUGAGGUAUGGGUUAUGGAAAUUCUCACUUGCCACAUGCUAUCUUGAAGGGAACACUGCAUAUUACACGAUGAUUUUUUCUUUUUGCCGAGGUUGAAUAUACAACAAUGAAUCAUAUAAAAUUGCAUUUAAUUAAUUUAUGUUUUUAAAAUAGAUUAAUAGUUUAUGCUAUUCAAUUUGCUUGAAAUUUGAAUAAAAUAGCAUGUAUGAUAAAUAUUGGAAGUGGAAGCAUAAUAAGGUAUGUUGUCAAGUGAAUUUCUCAAAUUUCUUUUGCUCAACAACUUGAUAGUUUUGUUGACUAGUUAAAGAGUUAGUUUUGAUGUUAUCUCUUCUGUUCUUUUCUUGGGAGUUGGACCUGUUCUUCAUACAUUUUUCUUUGUUUUCUAUAUAAAACAGGCUUUCCCCCUUUCUUUUAUACUUUUCACUAGCAAGAAGACAACAUAUACAAAAUGGAUUUUGUAAACUCCCUUGUUGAUUUUUAGUUUUUCAUAAAAGAUGUCUAAAAACCACUAAUUUUAAUCUUGAAUCAGCACAAGUAUAUGGAACUUCCAAUGAGAAAGUUCAAUCAGGGUUAAGCUCAAACCUCAUUUUUGAUUCCUGAUUUGAGUCUUCUUAUCUUUCUUGCUAUGGAGUCCCAUGUUUGAUUCAUUCACUCUGUCAUUGACAUCAGCAUCGUUAUUAUUUUCUUUUCUAGAGAGGAGAGAUUGAUUUGUCUGUUAAAACUUGACUUACAUGCAUGGGAGGGAAUGAUAUAAGCACAUACCUUGAAUCUACAAUACAAUAAAACUAUACAACUUCCUCACUGAACCUUGUGAUUCACCUAAAGUUAAAUGACUUGAAGUCAUAUUUUGAAUAUGGACUUAUAGAAAGUUGUUAUAAUGGAAAUCUGUUGCACGCUGUUUAAUAAAAUUGAAGUUCCUAUGAAACUCUAGGUUUGUUCCUUGAAUGUUGAAUAGGAUAUAGCUUCAAGUUGGUUAGGAUUUUAAUCAUUUUUGAAGCAUUUCACUUAUAUUUAUUUAUUAUUUCAUUGAAAAAAGAAAGAAAAACUCUCUCCCAUCUUGUUAACAAAAGCAUGUCUCAACUAAUUAAGGCAGUGUAUCAUCGAUUAGAAGGUAUGAUAUUAUGUUAGGGUAUCUCCUAACAAGAAAACUUCAAGAACACAAGAAAUACAAGAACACUCAAAGAUAGAAUUAUAUUGCAAUGUAAGAGGAUUUACUAUAUAAAAAUAGCCUUUUGAGAGGGCUAUCUCUCCUAAAUUCCCUCAAUGGAAAUUUCUACCAAAAUGAACCACACCUUGCUCUCAACCCACCCCCUCUAUUUAUAACCUAAAAACCCCAACAAGCUUACUAGCUAAAUACUAAUAUGCCCCUACUAAUAACUAUACUAUUCUAGUAUUUCCCUAACUAGGGUUCUUACAUAAGAUGGAUUUCCUUUGUGGAUUUGGCCUAUACCUUUAACCCAUUGCAUCACUUUGUGAACUGUUUGUCUUUCCACUGCUUAGUCGUAAGAUUCUCUUUUUGUUUCACUCUUCUAGGAGUUUGUAUGUGUGAGCAUUAAUCUCUUUUCAUUAAUUUUUUGAAAAAUCUCUAUUUUUUUUUAUAAAAAAAGGAUAGUAAAGUGGUUUGCCAAAUUCUCCCAAAUGCAUGUAGAGAUAAAGUGGCUCUGGCUUUGUCCUUGAGAAAUUGAUCUGCCUUAAUUCUUAUGCGUGUUGCAUCUAUACAAGUCUCAUGUUUCCCCCAAACAUCUGCUUGCUUAUUCCAAGAUUUCAAUGGUUAUGCAGGACAGAUUUAUGGUCCAGUUGGAAUACAUUCUUUUCUGCCUUGAAGAAGGAAAAACGGAGGAUGCACAUCAGGAGACUUUAAGGUAUGGUAUUCAAACUGGGUAUAUAAUUUGUGUACUUGUGCAUGUUUGCAAGUUUUGCUUUACUUUUUACAAUCUUAUUUGGUUUGAACGUUUAAUCUAAAUGGAUAUUGAAACCAUAUUAGUUAUUUUUUUAAAAAGGAUACGAGUCUCAAAAUAGAGAGACAAAGCUCAAUGUACAUAAGGGGUAUACAUAGAGCAAUAGGGGGGAUCAGUAGGCGCACCUAGUCAUCUCAACUAGGUUGACACCCCUUUAACGAACUAGGUUGACACCCCUUUAGCGCCCUCAUCACAUCCAAAAAGCGAAAAAAAACCCAUAUACAAGGUUUCUAAAAGCAAUACAAUAUCAAAUCAAAGGCCACAAUACAAGGCCAAACAAGAUGAAAGAAAAAACUAUCCAAAACAGAAACAUAAGCAAGACAGCAAGCCGGACACAAAACAAAAAUAAUAAUCCUUGAUGGAGCAAAAACUGAUUGGAGCAGAAGGCUGAUUUGGAAGGCAUGAUAAUCUAGAACUUCAAGGUGGGAAGGCUAUAAAGGCUGGCCAAUUUAAAACAAUCUUCUGCGAAGAGUAAUCCUGAAAAUAUUUAGAUAAUGAGCACCAUGAAGAUGCAUUCAAAAGAGCAGAGUCAUAGCGUUCUUUUCAAACCAAAUUUCAGCUAAAAGUGCGUUUACUGCAUUUGCCCACAACAAUUCAGCUGUCUUUUUCUUCAAGUCUGGACCAGCAAGAAUUUGAGACACAUUGUUCUUAAAAACAUGAUAAAAAACCCAACAAAAAUUGAAUGCUUGGAGAAGGCGGAGCCAACACUUAGAUGCAAAGACACAAUCAAAUAAAAGGUGCUGGAUGUUUUCCAUGUUAUCAACACAAAAGGGGCAGACAUGAGGUGAGAGGGCAUGGGAGGAAAGCUUUCUAUGAAGUACUGAGGCACGGUUUAAAUUUUCGAACAGUAUAAUCCAUAUGGAUAUAUUUAUCCUUCUUGGACUGUUAGAUUUCCAAAGCCUUUUGUACAAAGAACUUUCCAAAGGAGAAGAUGUCGAAAGAUGCUAACCAGUGAUUUUACCGAGAAGGAACCUGAGUUUUCAAGGGACCAAAACCUUUGAUCUGGAAAGGAGGCUGGCUGUGAAGAAGAAAUCUGACUCAACAAGGUCUGAAAAUCUAAUAUUUCUUCAUCAUUAAGCAAUCUUAUGAAAUAGAUGGACCAAGAGUUGGUUGAAGAGUCUCGAUGAUCUAAAACAGACCCAUUUGGAUUGAGUGUGAUCGUAACCAAUCUUGGAAAUUUACACUCCAAAGUGAUAAUGUCCAUCCAAGGGUGCUUCCAAAACAAUAUUAUGCUGCCAUCACCUAAUUUGAGAAGAGCCAAUGAAUCAAUUUUGCUCCAUUGCCUUGAUAUGCUAAUCCAAGGACUUCUUAGACUCAUGGUUUUUUUUUCAUUUGAAUGUCAGUUGAAAGUACUACUUCUAUUAAUGUUUCUGGUCCCUUGACACCAAAGGGAAUUUUGUUCUUUUGAGAAACGCCAUCCCCACUUAGACAAUAGGGCCAGAUUCUUGUGCUUCAACUUCCCCAAACUAAGUCCUCCAUCUUUGUAGGAUUUAAUUACAGCAUCCCAUUUUACUAGGUGGUUUAGCUUUCCUCCCUUGUUUCCUUCCCAAAAGAGCUUUCUCACGAUUCUUUCCAAAGAGCUUAAAGAAGAUUCUUGCAUGAGGAAAACAAACAUAUAGUAUGUGGGGAGGUUGGACAAAACUGAUUUGCAUAGUGUAAUCCUCCCACCCUUAGAGAGAUUGUAUCUUCUCCAUUUAUCUAGCUUUCCAUGGACUUUAUCAAGAAUGGGCUGCCAAAGUCGAGCACUUUUUGGAUAACCUCCCAAAGGAAGACUGAGAUAAAUGAAGGGGAGACUUUCUACCUUGCAGUUUAAAAUGUUUGCGGUUGAAAUAACCUUGCUGUCCUCAAUAUUUAAACCACAAAUAGCUGAUUUCUCCCAAUUAAUCUUUUGAUCGGACACCAUUCAAAGACUAGUAAUGAUUUCCUAAGAUUUUCCAUCAUUUCCUCAUCAAAUUUACAAAACAAGAGUGUGUCAUCCGCAAAUUGAAGGAUAGGAAUGUGAAUCCUAUCUUUUCCAACUACAAAGCCUUCAAACAUUUCUUUCUUAUGAAGGUUGGAGAAGAGGCUGCUCAAAACUUCACUAACCAGAAGAAAAGGAAAGGAGAAAGAGGAUCUCCUUGUUUAAGACCCCUUGAAACUGAAAUUCUUCCUAUUGGCCUUCCAUUGAUGAAGACUGAAUAUUUAGGAUUCUUGAUACAUCUCAUUAUCCAUACGAUCCAUCUUUCGACGAAGUUCUUACGCAUUACUUUUUCUAAAAAUGCCCAAUCCACUCCGUCGAAAGCCUUUUCAAGGUCUAAUGUAUUUUGUAUAGAGAGACUUGGACCCUAUUUUAAUUCCUCUUGGCCUUGUAUUUUGUUCGGUCGAAACCAUUGACCAUUCGAGGGGAUUAGGAAGAGAGCCAGCUUGAGGGGAUUUUGUAUAGAGAGAUUUGUAGAAUUCAAUGAUGAGACUUUCAAUUCCAUUAAAGGACAAGCUACGUCUUUUUUUUUUUUUGCAGCAAGGAAACAAUGGAAGAAACUAGUAUUUUCAUCUCCCAAUUUUAGCAAAUUCAGCUUACAUUUUUUGAUUAAAUCUCUUUCCUCUCUUCUGUAGAUUGCUAAAAGGUCCGAUUUAAUAGACAAUUUCAGAAUGUUGUCUAAGGAUGACAUGUUCAAAGAUUCUUCCUUGAUUUCUUCAUUUGCAAGAGCUUGGAGCAAAUAUUCUUCUUGCUUUUUUCUAGCUCUUUCACUGUCCACAAGCCAAGAUUUCAAGUAGCUUUUUAAAUUUCGAAGUUUUGAAUAAAUGACAAAACCAGCCCGUCCUUGAUGAUUUCUUGAGGUCAAAGAAUUUUUUAUAGUUUGGCAGCACUGCUUAUCGAGCAGCCAGCUGUUACAAAAGCGAAAUGGAGAGGGGCUCAUUCAAAAGCACCCGCAUCUAAUAAGAUGGGGAAAUGAUCUGAAGUGAGUCUUUCCUUUCGAGAGGCUCUGGUAUCAGCAAAGGAUUCAUCCCAAUCAUCAGUUACUAGGAACCUAUCCAGCAGAGAACGUGAAACUGACCUUCCUUCUCUUGAGUCCUUGACCAUGUGAAUUUACCGUUGGACAGCAGAAUUUCUAGCAACUUUGACUCUCUAAUGAACUUAUUAAAUUUUCUCAUUCCCCUUGUUAAUCUUCCUACUGGAAAUCUCUCUUGCACCUUUCGAGUGAUGUUGAAAUCCCCUCCCAAACACCAAGCUCCUGUACAGAGGUUUGAAAGAAGAGACAACUCUGGCCAAAUUUGGUUUCUAUCUGGUAUGUGUGGGUCCAUAGUUGUUUGAAAUCCAGCAGAUUUUUCUAUUGAUUGUGCUGCAUUUUAUUGAUAUAGAAUAUCCUCGUUUCAGGACUUCCAUAACCGACAACUUAGAUUUAUUCCACAUAAUCAGCAAUCCUCCUGAUCUGCCGUUAGCUUCAACAAGGUCCCAGCCAAUUCCUUUUGAACUCCAUAGUGCCUUUAUAAUACAACAGUCAAUUUCUUCUCUUUUGGUCUCGUGAAUCAUUACUAUAUCUAGAUUAACUUUCUUCAAAAGUUUUUCAAUAGCCAAUCGUUUCAAUUGACCCAUGAUUACUCUAGUGUUCCAUGAUAUAAUCUUCAUCCUGAUUACCCCUGCCUUAGAUCAAUUCAAUUUCACAGGCUGCUAAUAAUGGGAUCAACUCUUGAGGGGGAAGGAUUCUUGCUGUCUUACACGAACUUUCUUUCUCUGGGGAGGAAAACAGCUUAGUAAUGUCUGGGCCUAGAGAGUCAUUAUCUUCUAGUUUCUCUGUCUCUGUUUGGAUUUCUUCUUCCUCAACUGGUUCAAUUUCAGCACUACUCACACCGAUGACUGAUUCAACUUCCAUAAUUUCAUCUUCUGGGUUCUCUACAUUCUUGAAACAAGAGGUACCUUGCACAAAAUUGAGAAAUGAAUCAGAAAGCUUUGAGGAGGAUUGAAAAAAAUUAUUAUUAUUUAAAGAUGAAGGCAGUACUGACCUGUUACCUCCAGAAUUUUGAAUUUGUAACUUCACACAACUUUCUUCUAAUAAGUUAGAGUUAGCCAAGCCCGUCCAAAUGUUGCGAAAAGAUAUGAACCCCUUUGAUAAAGGUCUUGAGGUUCUUGGAUAAUUUUCUGGAUUGGUUUGGGAUGACUUUCUUUACAGAGAAGGUUUUAUUCUUGGAAGAAGCUGGUAAUUUUGGUUGAGUACAAAAUACAUAAGAUGGCCCGAAAAGGAAAUAGCUUGGUGGAGAAAAGGACUCUGAUUCUUCCUCAAACUCGUCACAAUACCAGCAGCCAUUGGUUUUCUGAGUAAUAAAUUUCGUGGGGCGUACCAAACAUGUGUCAUCUUUUAAUAGGCUUACUGAUACAUUAUAUUGGAGAAAAACUGAAUGGGGAGGACUAAAAGAGCCGUUUUUUGAGGUAUUAAUUGGCCGCUUGACAGUCUUUUCUAUUUCUUUUUUCGAGAUCUGAAUUUCUCUCUUCUGGUGUAGUCUUUUCCUCCUCUAAGCACGUGGAGAAGCCAGCUUUAUCCAGAUUUGUAUUUUGUCCCCUGAAACAGGUCUUUUCCGGUGAGGGUUCCUUGAUUGAAUUUUUUUUUCGGCCGAGUGGGUGAUGUAUUUAGCUUGUACUGUCCUUUACUGAUCCUUUACUGUUCUGUUAGUUACGCUAUUAAGUUACUGCUACAGUUAGUCACUGUUCUGAUAUAUUUUAGAAGCUUUAUAAUUAGGCAGUUGUAACUUGCUGACUUUUGGGGUUAGUAUGAAAACCCCUAGUUUGUCAUUUAAAAAAGAAUAUAAUAAAAUUCCAGAACAAAGAUUUUAGUCUUCUUGAGUGUCUCUAUCCAUCAAUUUGGUAUCAGAGCUUCACCGGUGAAGGGAGCUGUGACCGACAAGAACACCUCCGGCAAGGGAGAGGAUGUAGUGCUGAAUGAAGAAGAGAUCUGUCCACGCACUUUGACUACCCGAUUGACGGCCGUUGAAGAAAGCAUGGUAGAAGUGUUCGACCGAAUGGGAAAUCUUGAAGCCCGUGGAACGACUUGCUCGCCGGCUUGAAGUGGCGUUGACUGCCCUUCCCCAGCAGCAAGAAAUCAGCAAUAGAAACCACCAAGAAGUUCGGCACAUUGCCAGCCGAAUUUCUGGCCAAUUAUGCCACAAAGAACGUCAAAAUUCAGUCCAAGAUUGGGGGCAACGAGGCACUCGAGGGGCUGGAGUACAUAGAGCUGGACGAAAUCAUCAAGAAAGAAAGUUUGAAGUGCAAGAAAGGAGAAAACUAGUCCAAGAUUACCAAGAACCCCAUGUAAGAAUUCAAGAAUACAGCCAAAUUCUUCAAGAAAAAAGGUUUGAAGCUCAAGAACAUAGGAGACCUAAUCAAAAGUAUCAAAAAGUUUCCCCAAGAUUUCAAGAUUGCUUUCAAGAUUUUGCAAGAACGACUCAACGUGUAGAUCAACCAUCAAUUUAUUUGCAAGAGUCCAAGAACAAAUUUGCUUCAUAUACAAAAGAAAAAACAAAAGAAUCACAGUUGGAAAAUUUUCAAAUAGAAAAUCUUGAAGAUAAAAUUGAAGAACAAGAUUUUGAAAAUGUUGAUUUGGAAAUGGUCACAAGUGAAGAAAAAUCCAACGAAGAAGAUGAAAAAUAAGUAUUAAACACCGAGCAAAAAUCGAACAAGAACAACGAGACAUUGAUUGCUGUGGAAAUGAAUCUUCAAACCGUAGAACUUGAAGCGAAUGAUAAAGAAAAUAUGAUUCUUGAAGGGUUUUCUUCGAAAGCAAAUUCUUUUAAAAUUGAUUCUUUGAAUACGAUUUUGAGUGAGAUUGAAGGAAACAUCUUUUUUGGGUUUACAGUUGAUGGAGAGGUUCAUCUUUUAGUGGCCAUGUUUGAUUUUUUGUCUCAAGUUUAUCCCUUUGAUCAUAAUAUUUUUGUUCAAAACAUAGGAGGUUGGUAUGGUCAUUCUCCGUUGAACAAGUUUAUUUCAUUCUUUUUUUUGCUUCAUAAAUUUUUUCUUUGUAAAACUUGGGACGAGUUUUUCUUUUUGGAGGGAUAGAAUGAUGUAAGAAGACUAAGGGUUAAUUGGGUAGUUAGGUAAUAUUCUAGGUUUAUUCCCUUUUUACCCCCAAUUGUAAUAGAAAUCUGUAAAUAGGAGCCUUCUCCUCUUGUAUGAAGCAUAUUAUUCAUUCUAAUAAAAAAUCCAUAAUCUUGGUUCUUGGAGGAUUUCUCCUUGAGGUUACUUAGAUUACGUCAGUGAGAUUUUCAUCUUCACACCUCAGCUUCCUUAGUGCCUCAAAAGGAUUCCUUGAGAUGGAAUGGGCAUUUUGGUUGAGAAAAUUCCAGGUCUUUGGGAGGUCAUCACCUUGGAGUUCUCAUCAAUAAUUAUUGAAUUCAGUCUACAUAAAUCAAUAGGAUUGGAAAAAUCACUAUGAGAUAAAUUAUGAUGAACUGUUGCAGGAACUUCCAAGGGUUCAAAAUCCUCAAAAUGAAAGAAAAAAUUCCCUCAGGUCUCACUCUUUAGCUCUAUAGUUGGAAUCCACAAAGAUUAUUUUGGACCUUAAUUCUUGCUUCAGAGCACUUGAUCAAGAGAUUUAUACAAAGAGCGCAAUAAAGAAGAAAAAGAAAUGGGGAACCUAUAGGAUUAGGAGGCGCACCUGGACAUCUCAACUAUGUUAUCUUCAAUAUUGAACCUCCCCUUUUCGAACCAGAUGCAGUAGAAAGACCCUACGAUUUUGCAACUUUUGACUUCCAUUUUCGGAAAAGAUGGAGCUGUGACUCCUCAGGUUUGACGUCGGUGACGUGACUGCGAGAAAUUGUGACCGGAGAAGGCGUGGCUGGAGUGAAGGGAGAAGAGGGUGGGUGAGAGGAGAGGAGAGAGAGAAGAGAGUUAGUUGGAGUCUCUAAAACAUUAAAAUUUAUCGAAACCAUAUUAGUUAUUAGCCUAUCAUUUGUCUACUUGGAGAUGUUUCCAAUUUCAUGACUUAAUGACUAGUUGAACUUUCUUGACUUAAUGAAUGGCCGAACUUUUUAUUUGCUCAUUCUAGUUAUUUUCAACUUUGGAAGUGGGAUCAACAUAGAUUUUUGUCUUUGUUAAUUGCAUCACAUAUUUCAUUCCUUCUUCCUGCCUUUGUUUAUCAGAUGAUUAGGUUAUUUCCAAAUUCCAACGUUUUCAAGAAAAUAAUCUCCAGUUGCCUGUUGGUCUUUCGUUGGCAUCAAAGAAUUUGUUCUCUAUUGUAGUGAAAACCAUUUUAAAAGAUAUUUGGUUUUAAAGGCACACGUUGAUGCUUUUCGGGUCCCCAAAUUGUGCAGAAAUUCUUCGAAAGAAAUCUCCAAGCAGGUGCUUCCAGCCUUCGGUUUGCCCUCUUUGUAUGAAAGCUAAUGAGUCAUUGCUUCAUCUCUUCCUACUUUGCCCCUAUUCCUCUAUUUUUUGGAAUAGUUUCUUCUCCAUCUCUGAUAUUUCUUGGGUAUUCGACGCCUCCUUCAGCUCCUCGGUGCUUCAGCUAUUGGAGGGUCCACCUCUUCCUAAGAAGCCUCGGCUGAUUUGUUUAAAUCUUUUAAAAGCUCUUUUAGCGGAAUUGUGGUUUGAAUGUAAUUAGCAGAUCUUUCAAAACAAGAAAAGAUCAAGCUCAGAAAUUUCAAUUCAGUGAUGCAGCAGCUUGGUGCUCUAAACAAGUUUUUUGCAAAUUACUCCAUUUAAGACCUUUGUCUCAAUUGGGCAGUUUUCUAUCUCAGUUAGUUUUCUAGGACUACUUCUGAUGUGGUGUUCCCCGUCUGGAUUUCCAUGGAGCUUAUUUCUAUGCUUUCUUUUUUAUUUUCUCAGUAGUAUCUUAGUUGUACUAAAAGGCUCAUCUGUUUCUGGACUUUUUUCUUUUCUAGUUUUCGAUGAUUUUUUAGUUCUGCUGUAUUGGCUGGAUUCCGCUCUCAUUUUAAUAGGCUGGAUCUUGUUCUCUUUGUUGCAGUAGGCUAGUUUUAGUUGGGAUAUGAUAUUUUAGUGCUAAGGGGUGUCAACCUAGUUGAGAUGUCCAGGUGCAAUUUCUGAUCCUUGUUCUUCUUUCGCUUGUUUAGACUUCUUUAUUUAGUUCUUUGUAUAAUUCUCUUGUACAUUGAGUUCUUAUUAUUAAUAAAGAAGUUUGUCUUCGUUUAAAAAAAAAAGCACACAUUGGAAUCCUUGGAAAGAUAUCUUGUUUGAGCUUCCUACCUUUUCUCCUUUUGUGAAAUAUGUCGUGGAGAAUGGAAAGGACGCAUUUUUUCGUGGGAGGAUCAGUGGGUGGGGGAGGGUGCUCUUUCUUCUGUCUUUCCUCAUCUUUAUCACCUUUCUUCCAUUAAAAAUUGCCCAAUUUCUUACUUCUUGAUUUGGUCGGAGAACUUUGUCUUUUUCCUUUGGGUUUCGUCGUAAUUGGUCCAAUAGGGAAACAGUAGAGGUUGCCUCUCUUCUUUCUUUAUUGGAGGGAUGCUUGUUUUGGAAAGGGAGAAUGGAUAUUUGUCUUUGGAGUCCAAAUUCUAGAGGGCUUUUCUUAUAAAUCCUUAUUCAGAUUGCUUGUAGAUCCCUCUCUCAUUGGGAAGUCUGUUUUUGAUACCAUUUGAAGGAUUAAGAUUCCUAAGAUAGGUUUUGUUAGUAGCAAGUCUUGCUUGGUCGUGUGCACACUUUUGAUAGACUUGUUAGGAGGAAAACUUCACUUGUGGGGCCUUUUUGAGGGCAAAGGAAGACCUGGACCAUCUCUUGUGGGGUAUGCAAGAUCUAUGUGGAGCUUAUUCUUGCAAGAGUUCGAUGCCAGCAUUGCCUGGUCAGAGAGAUGUGCGUGCGAUGACCGAGGAAUUCAUCCUCCAUCUGCCUUUCGAGAAAGGCUGCUUUCUAUGGCUUGUUGAGGUGUGCGAUUAUGUGGGAUAUUUGGAGGGGAGAGAAAUGAUCGGGUUUUUCGAAGGAAGGAUAGGGCCUCUACUAAGAUAUGGUCUUUAGCGAGAUUUCAUGUGUCCUUUUGGGCUUCACUUUCUAAUCUUUUUUGUAACUAUUCACUAGGAAAUAUCAAUCUUAGUUUGAUCCCCUUCCUUUAGUGGGUAUUUUUUUGUUGGGCUUGUUUUUUUUAUAUGCCCUUGUAUUACACUUUCUGAAUGGAAGUUGUUUCUAUAAAAAAAAGAAAAAAAAGAAAAAUACUUUGUUUCCACGGAAUUAUUGUUUUGGUUCUGCUUGUCAUAAAAGCUUUUUGGUGUUUCCAAUUCAAGCACUUUGCUAGAUACACUAUUUAGGUCUUUGUCUCAAUUGAAAUUCUUUAGUCAACCUAGUUAUGCUAUGUAUGAACGUAAUGGUGGAUGUUAAGAAAGAAUCGGAAAUGGCUUUAGUCACACUAAUUAUACUUGUUUUCUUUUGUCAGCCUCAUGCAAAUGCCUGAAUCUGUGAAUGAUCCAAUGUCAAAUAUGAUUAUAGGAUUGACAUUUAGGCAACUGUGGUUCUCUACCAUUCCAGAAGAAAUUCAGUGGAGGGACUCUCUCCAGUUUCACUCUCCAAUUCAUUCAGAUGGGAUGAUUUUGAACUCAGAUGGGUGUUCCACCAGCAACUCUCAUGGUGAUGGUGCCUCGUAUUGGAGUAAGACAGAGACUUCUGUCAUGAAUGGUAAAUUAGUUCAAGUAGAUAGUGAAGGACACACUGAAGCUUCUUUCGAUGUUGAUCAUAAGAUUCAUAACAUAAAAGUGGAAAGUCAUCCUCAGAACUUUGAGGCACAAGAUUUUUGUGUUAUUUCUGCCGAAAAAGAUGAAAAUGAAGCUUCUUUCUCAGACAAUGGAGGUUAUCAGCACUAUGUUUCAAUUUUCUCUGCUCUUGGUGAGUUCGAAGUUACACGAUUAUAUGAUUAUUAAGCCUUCUCUAGAUACUGUGCCACUCAUAAUUAGAUUCCUCAAUUUGAAGGGAGCUUUUGUGCUAUUCGUUCAAUCAUCUAUCUAGGUUACCCAAGCAUGUGAAAGUGUUUGAAUUUUUUAUUUCUUUGUUGGUUAUGUUUAGUAGUAUUUAGUUUAUAGCCUUACAUACCUCAUACUUGCGCGCUCAGAGGCAUAUAUGUACGGAUGUAUGCACCUACAUAUGUACAUUUUUUUUUGGGCACAACGUUUUUUUUUCAAAGAAAACAAGAUUUACAUAAACAAAUUUUCCCAUAAAAAUAAAAGGACAUCAAUAUUCAACAAAUAAACAAAAAGGAACCCCCUACCCAGUACUCUUUCAAGCAAUCCAAGCUAAUCCAAGCAAAGUACAUACCAAUCGCCCGAAGCCUAUUAACAACAAAAGCCAAAACAAUACACUGACAGUUAAAAUAAGUUUAAGCAUUCAUUAGAGUCCAAGGGACAGAACAAAUAAAAGCAGAGGCAGAUUCACAUACAGGGCAACUUUGGGAUCAAAUAAGCAGUGAGGCAUUGCAAAUGAAGGUUGAUUCUAAGAUCGAGAUGGGAAGUGGAAGAAGGGGUGGUGGUAUUUGGAUACUUCCUAAGAAGAACAAAAUUUGAAUUUAUUGUAAAUAUAAAGAAAUAUAAGAUAAACCCAAGUACAAGGCACUUGGAACCUCCCUCCUGAGUACUCUCAAGUCUCACCCAACCCUAGAUCACUCCACAAAAUAAGCUCCUUUACUCUCACUUACCCACCCUCUAUUUAUAUCAAGUUGUAACCACUUGAGUAACCACCCUUAAACAAUAACUACUAAUUACUAGUAACUUCCUAUCUUUCUCAUUACCCUUAUACCCAUUAACUAACAUCAUACUAAAUAUCUAGUACUUACAUAAGGUAGGUAGAGCAAAGGUUUUGAUGGGUGAGGGAAAAAGAGUAGAACCCCAAAAUCAUUGGGGUUCUUUAUAUCUUUUUGAGGUCUUAGUUGAAUUCCAUCUGGAAAAAUCAUAUCUAGGAAAUGUUGAUCAGGAAGAAAUGAAACAAUCCGCAAGUGUGAUGCCGGGAUUGAAUCUGUCAUAAAUGAGCAUGUGAGAGAAAGGUUCUCUUCCAAGAUCCGAUGAACUAGAUUUCAAAGAAGAGAUGGAGGGGAGAGAAAAGGGAGGGAGAAAGGGAAAGAAAGAUGAAGAAAGAAAUUCACCUCAUCCAGAAAAAUUAAUUCAGAAACCAAUUAUAAAUUUAUAAGCAUUUUUCAAACCUUAGGACUAAAGUGUUUCUUUUGAAACUUUAGAGACCAAGUAGGCACUUAUUGCAAACUUUAGGGACCAAAAGUACAUUAUUAUUAUUAUUAUUCUAUGCUUCGUUUUGUUAUAUAAUUUUGAAGGACUGGUUGUGAGCAAAUAAGCAUCAAAGAGCUUGGUUAUAUAUGAGCUAGUUAUUAUUUUGAUUUUUGAUCAUUUAGAUGGACAGAAGAAAUCAAUUAUUGACAAAUGUGAUCUUAUAUGCAUUAUAAUAAGUCUAUCCCUAAGUUGACAUCUACUCUCAAACUUAUGUUCAUAUGCGUAUGCGUAUGUGUAUGCAUAUGCAUAUACAUAUCCAUAUGCACAUGCAGAUGCACAUACACAUAGUACACAUACACACAAUAUACAUUAAUGCAUUUUUAAAUUUCUGCUUUGUAGUUUUGGGUUGUUUGUAUGGCUAGAUCUAUUCUCGUCAUUACCGUUGUAUUUGCUUUGGGUUUAAGUCUGAAUAUGAUGAGAGUGCUUUGGGGUGUUAACAUAGUUGAGAUGUUCAGGUGCACUUAUUGAUAGUUAGGGCUUUGACCUUGUCUCUUCAUUGUAUUAUCUUAUGUAAUGUCUAUACAUUUUCUUAAUGAAGAGGCUAGUUUCCUUUUUCAAAAGAAAAUUCUUUGGAAAUGUCAGUUGGUGGGCUCACGAUUGUAAGUUAUCCAUGUUUUUUUCUUCUGUGUGGUGCCACAGAGGGAUUGGAUCCACUAUUGUUACCUCUACAUUUGCCACCUUCCAUUGAGAAUUGGGAGAAUGCCAUUAGUCUAUGUGGUGAGUUUCUGAAUGACUAUUAUAAGGAUGCAGUGAAGCAUCUAGACCUUGCUCUUAACUCAAAUCCUCCAAUAUUGGUUGCCUUACUGCCUCUUAUACAGGUAAAGCAAACCUAAUUAUUCAAAACUGUAUUCCAUUUAGAUGAUUCUUUCAUAAUAUUUGAUAUCUUCUAGGUUGGCAUACUGUACUUCACUAUUCUCAAUACUUGAUAUGUAUGAUUGAAGGUGACUAUUAUAAGGUGUGCACGAUUUGUGGGUUUCUUAGAGAGUGGAAUGAUACAAUCUUUAGAGGGAAGGAGCUUAACGCUUUUGAUGUUUGGUCCCUCAUUAGCUUCCAUGUUUCCUUGUGGAUUUCUGUAACAAAGCUUUUUUGUAACUAUUUUUUAGUUAUAUCGUGCUUGAUUGAAGAUCUUUCUUGUAGGUUGCUUUCUUCCUUUGUGUGGGCUUUCUCUUUUGUGUGCUCUUGUUUUCUUUCACCUUUUUUCUCAAUAAAAGCUUAAUGGGCUCUCCCUCACGUCCUUACAUCUCCCUCAUAAACUGGAAGAGUUUUUUUGUAACUUCCCUUCUUGGAUUUGCCAUUAUGUGCAAUUUCAUUAUUUUAUUGAUAUGAAGCAAAUGAAUUGAGCCUAAACCCACACUUCCUGUCUGUUAUCUUUUCUUUUUAACGGAGACAAACCUCUUUAUUAAUAAUAAUUAAUGAAUGAGACUAAUGUUCAAAGUACAAGAGUAUUAUACUAAGAGCAAAAUAAGAAAAGGACAAAAUCAUCCAAACAAACUACACAAAGAUGAAACCGGGCAAUACAAAAGGGAAAAAAAACAACCAAAACAAACAAUCACAAUGAACAAGCUAAUAGAGCGAAAUCCAACAGAAAAAUUGAAACUAAACAGAACCAAAACGAAGAGAUCUGAAUACAAAGUAUAACGAAAUAGCUCUCUAAAAAAGAAAACAUUCGAAUCUAGAAACUAGCAAGAAGAUGCAACCGGCAAUCUCAAAGCUUUCAUGCCAAAGUAAUCCAAAACCCAGAAGAGACUCGAAAAAGUCUUUCAAAAUAUCAGCAUCAGGAAAGUGGCUUUACUUGCCCCCCAUAUGAAGAGAAAACCUAGAGAGACUAAAGAUGGGCUUUUUUAGUGUUGCACGAUUGGAGGAAUCAUUCAAACCCUUAGUGUUUCAGGAGACAAUUUUCAUAAUAGCUGGGAGAAGGAAAAGGAUGGCUUCAUUUUUAAAUUAAGCAAAAAUAAUUUCACAAUCACUGACUAUUGACAACAAAUCUUUAGGCAAAUCCAUGGGAAUUUUAUUUGGGGAAGCCCUCAUCAUUAAACAAAACAUUUAGGUCCAUCCCUUAAUUUCUGAGUCUAAUUUAAGGUCAACCUUAAUGGAUUCAGCUGAAUCUUCACUGCUAACACUGAUAGGAGAGAAAAUUUUAAGCUGGUUUUUUACUGAAAAAUCAUCUUUGCAGGGGGAGCCUUGCAGAAAAGAUUCCUUUGAAUUAGAGAUGGUGGAUUUAGAAAAUUGAGUCACUUUGAAGAAGAAUCAAAACAUUUACUGACCUGAUGAAGCGUUCAGGGAUCUGAAUUUUAGAGCUGUACACUUCCAAAAGAUCCGGUUAUUGGCAGAAACAGAGUGCUUGAUGGGGCAGUUUCGAAAAGAGUCCAAAGGGGGAAUUUAAGGUCACAAACCCCAUUUAAUUCAGAUUUUAGAA